AGCUCCUCGGCCCGGCUCCGUCUGCGACAAAUCAUUAACUGUCAAGCCCCGAGGGCCAGACGAUACAUUUGCAGAUUACAGCCUGGCACCACCCCCCGGGAGCAGAGAAGAAAGGGUAAUUUUUUUUUCUUUUGCCUUGGCAGUCGAGCCUCGGCGUUGGGUGGCACCCAGUGUGCACUUGAGGUUUUUAUGGUUCCUUGUUUGAAAUCGGCACACGAGGUGAUACGAGGCUGCCCUGGCUGCUCCCGGGGUGUCCUGCGUCCUAACCCAGGAAGCUGAGGCGUACCAACUGCCUGAACUUGGCCAACUAGGCGGACCGGCUGACCCUCCCCUACCUCCGACCUCCGGUCCUCGGACUGGUUUUCCGAGAUAGCCCGGUCUGGAAGAGCUGAGGACGCUUCAGGUCUCGCCGUCUUCCUCACUAAACAGGGAAACUCUAGAGAGACUUCACAGGCCGUCAAUCUGAACUCAACCUGAACUUCAAACGGUGAGCAGGUGUUAAGGCACUGGACUCCCACAUGGUGGACCUCCUGGAGGCCGAGCACUUGUGCAGUGGACAAGCGCACAUGCCUUACAGCAAAAACCUAAAGAAAAACAGUUCCACCCAGGAAACCAGAACACCUACUUUGAAGCUUGUUUGUACCCUCCAACUAAAAAUUCGUCCGACUGACGCUUUACUGUACUUUGCCACUAGCCCUCUUCCCCUAUAAAAGCAUCUAUAAAUUC